rnacentral:rRNA from 1 species
GUGGGGAAUAUUGCGCAAUGGGCGAAAGCCUGACGCAGCGACGCCGCGUGAGGGAUGAAGGUUUUCGGAUCGUAAACCUCUGUCAGAAGGGAAGAAACUACGUUGUGCUAAUCAGCAGCGUACUGACGGUACCUUCAAAGGAAGCACCGGCUAACUCCGUGCCAGCAGCCGCGUUAAUACGGAGGGUGCAAGCGUUAAUCGGAAUUACUGGGCGUAAAGCGCACGUAGGCUGUAGUGUAAGUCAGGGGUGAAAUCCCACGGCUCAACCGUGGAACUGCCUUUGAUACUGCACAACUUGAAUCCGGGAGAGGGUGGCGGAAUUCCAGGUGUAGGAGUGAAAUCCGUAGAUAUCUGGAGGAACAUCAGUGGCGAAGGCGGCCACCUGGACCGGUAUUGACGCUGAGGUGCGAAAGCGUGGGGAGCAAACAGGAUUAGAUACCCCUGUAGUCC